rnacentral:rRNA from 1 species
AUGGAGUCGCUGCUGGCGGCGCUCGCCGCGAGCAGUGGAGGCACGGUCGCUGCCGCAGCCGUUGGCGGGCUGGCCGCGGCUGCCGCGCUCGCUGUACAGGCCGGCAACGGCGGGACGGGCCCCAAGGACCGCACCAACGCGCCCCCAGUUGUUCCUGGUUUACCACUGAUUGGAAAUCUGCACCAAUUGAAAGAAAAGAAACCUCACAAGACCUUUUCAAAAUGGUCUGAGACUUAUGGUCCGAUAUACACUAUAAAGACCGGGGCUUCGUCAGUAGCUGUGCUCAACACAAGAGAGGUGGCUAAGGAGGCAAUGGUUGCAAAAUACUCAUCGAUAUCUACUCGAAAGCUACCUAAAUCUUUAGAUGUGUUGGGUCGCGAUAAAGCGAUGGUUGCUAUGAGUGACUAUGGCGACUUCUACAAAAAGGUGAAGCGUUUGGUUAUGGCGGGCAUGUUGGGUUCUUCCACUCAGAAACAAUUUCGGGAGACAAGAGACCUGAUGAUGGAUAACAUGCUGAGCAGUUUUCGUACAUUGGUGACUGACAACCCGAAUCAUUCCCCUGUGAACUUCAGAGAUGUUUUCAAGGACGAGUUGUUCCGCCUGUCCUUGGUCCAGAGUAUAGGCGAGGGUGUGAGUUCAGUCUACGUGGAGGAGUUUGGGAGGGAGAUAUCGAGGGAUGAAAUCUACCAGAUUACUGUGGUUGACAUCUUGAUGUGGGCGAUUGAGGUUGAUUGGAGGGAUUUCUUCCCCUACCUCGGCUGGAUUCCAAACAAGGGCUUUGAAACAGGACUUCAUACCACAGAAUUUAGGCGAACCAGCGUAAUGAGAGCCUUGAUCAAUGAACAGAAGAAAAGAAUUGCACGUGGCGAGGCAAGGGUGUCCUAUCUGGAUUUCUUAGUGGCAGAAAACGCGCUGACAGACGACCAAUUGAUGAUGCUGGUAUGGGAGGCGGUCAUCGAGAAUGCAGAUACUACUUUGGUGACCACCGAGUGGGCUAUGUAUGAGCUUGCCAAAAACCCAGAAAAACAGGAACGGCUCUACCAGGAGAUCAAGGAUGUGUGCGCGGGCGAGACGGUCACUGAGGACCACCUGCGACGGCUACCGUACCUCAACGCCGUGUUCCAUGAAACGCUGCGGUUCCAUUCUCCUGUCCCACUGGUGCCUCCAAGGUUCGUCCAUGAGAACACCAAACUGGCCGGCUAUGACGUCCCUGCCGGCACAGAGAUUAUCAUCAACCUGUACGGGUGUAAUAUGAACGAGAAGGAUUGGGAGAAGCCCGAGGAGUGGAGGCCAGAGAGAUUCCUGGACCCGAGGUUCGACUCUGCGGACAUGUACAAAACCAUGUCAUUCGGCUCCGGGAAGAGGAUCUGCGCCGGGAGCAUGCAGGCAACGGUAAUCUCGUGCACAGCUAUGGCGCGCAUGGUGCAGGAAUUCUCCUUCAGGCUGAAGGAGGGCGACGAGGACAAAGUGGACACAGUCCAGCUCACCAGCUACAAGCUCCAUCCACUCUACGUGCAUCUCUCUCCGAGAGGGAGCAAGUGA